ACUCUCCAUCAUUUACCAGCAGUCUUGGUUAAUCAAGGACGUCCCAGAUGACUGGAGAAAUGUCAUGGAUUUGAACAGUUGUUACUGUAGCAAGGAAAUAGAAAGUAGAAGAAUAUAAGAAUCACAGAAAAUUUUGAGUUGGAAGAGACCCACGAGGAUUAUCCAGUCAAACUCUUCAGUGAAUGGCCCAUUGGGGGAUCAAGCCAAAUACCUUCUUACUAGCACCGUUCUUUAAGCAAGGGAGCUAAUUUUUAUAAACUCUAGUUUCUAAGGAACAAAAGGCAAUGUUAUUCCCUUCUGAAACAGAAAUGUUUGCAAUUGAAGAUUGUAAAGAAAAAAGAAUUAAUUCUGUGAAAUAUUGAGUAAACAAUUACAUCUGUG